ensembl:lncRNA
GGAAACUGAAUGGCACUGCCGCCUCCCUCGUCUCGCUAUCACUCGUCUCUCUUUCUAUCUGUGCAUCUGAGGAAUCGGGAGCCUUUUGCCCCUCGGCGCCCGAGGAAAUAAUGAGGUGCCAACGGAGAGUCACAGCUCCACCGCUAAACAGCGAGUGCAAAAACCCAGCGAAGAUUGUGGCACAAGGAAGACGAGGCCUGAGAAACUCGUUCCACUUGGUGCUCGGGGCUCGGGGGGCGAGAUCACGCUCGAUCCUUAGCAGCAUGCCGCUGCGCAGUGCCAGCGGUGAGGCUGUGUGCCCGCCAACUCUUUUGUUUCCCUCAGAGUUGUUCCCACCUCCGGGAUCCACGCUCCACUGUUCACGUGCAACAACUGGAGCAAUUACAAGCGCAGCGAUUGCACACGAGUGUCCGUGUGUGUUUGUAAUUCGUUAAGCUCCGACAUAUCCACCCAGAGAGGGGAGGAGGAAAAAUGAAUAGGAGGAUGAUAAAAAAUGAAUAAGACACCGCGGCUUGUUUGAUCCUCUCUUGCAACCCGUGCCGUAAUUUGAAAGGGGUGGGAGAGGAGGACGAGGAUGAGGAUGAGGACGAGCAUGGAGAGUGCGACAUCUGUGGUCACUUGACUUUCCGAGCACACUUCCUCCUUCUCUCGCUCUGCAUGUGUCUGAGCUUGCUGCCUCGUGAGCAAAGCAUUCAGAAACGGAGAGGCACCAUAAGGAGCACAGUUAAAUCAACAUAAUGAAAGCAGAAAGUGGCUCCUCUGGGAAGAGUAUCCAGGUGAUAGGCAUCUCAACGACUCUAUCACGAGCUAUAUCAUUGUUCCAGAUGGAUGACGUUGAGCUUAAAGCAAUAGUUUCCUUGCGAUGUGUAAAACACUUAAAGUUUCCAGUGUUAUUAGAUUAGGUGAUUAGAUACUUUAAUGGUCCCUGUGGGGGAAACUGGCUCUAGAUAAGAAUUAAACAGAAAGCACUAAAGAUAAUACUACAUGCAAUUUGUAAAAACGAGCACCUGAGUGAGUGUCUCACUCAUUAGGAAAGGUGUUAAUAUAAGGAAAUAAGGGCUAAGAUAAGGGGAAAGAGCUAAAAGGAGCCAAAGUUUAAAUCAGUGUAUUUUUUAUAAAACUGGUCGUGGUGACAAGGCUAUGGAGAAUUAACGUCCCGCUUUACUGUUUUAAUCAAUUCUAUAAUACCUUUUAAUCUCUUUCAGUUCAUUACUUGUGAUUAAAGUCUUGCAAUUUUACGGUUUUGUUCACUCCUGUUAUUCUACUUUGUUUCCACAUAAAGACUCAUUUCCAGGAGCACCAGCAAAUGAAAACUUUAAUAAACCCACUUGUAUCAACUGUCUUACACUAAGUGAUACACAAGUGUAAGACCCAACACCAGACGCAUUUUCUGGAGCUGGAGAAGACCAAAUUAGAGUUGAUAGAAGAGGC